rnacentral:rRNA from 1 species
AGUGAACGCUGGCGGCGUGCUUAACACAUGCAAGUCGAACGAGAACGGAUUAUAGCUUGCUAUAAUUGUCAGCUAAGUGGCGCACGGGUGAGUAAUGUAUAGGUAAUAUGCCUCUUACUAAGGGAUAACAAAUGGAAACGCUUGCUAAUACCUUAUACUCCUUAUUAACAGAAGUUAAUAAGGGAAAGAUUUAUUGGUAAGAGAUUAGCCUGUAUUGUAUCAGUUAGUUGGUGGGGUAAUGGCUUACCAAGACUAUGACACAUAACUGGUUUGAGAGGAUGAUCAGACACACUGGAACUGAGACACGGUCCAGACUCCUACGGGAGGCAGCAGUGGGGGAUAUUGCACAAUGGACGAAAGUCUGAUGCAGCAACGCCGCGUGGAGGAUGACACAUUUCGGUGCGUAAACUCCUUUUAUAUGAGAAGAUAAUGACGGUAUUAUAUGAAUAAGCACCGGCUAACUCCGUGCCAGCAGCCGCGGUAA